rnacentral:rRNA from 1 species
AUUUAAGCGACUACACCUAAAUAUAUCUUUUAAUCCAACAUCGAGGUCGCAAUCUUUUUUAUCGAUAAGAACUCUCCAAAAAAAUUACGCUGUUAUCCCUAAAGUAACUUAAAUUUUUAAUCGUUAAUAACGGAUCAACUAUUCAUUAAUUAAUGAUUUUAAUAAUUAAAAGUUUAUUAAAUUUUAAUAUCACCCCAAUAAAAUAUUAUUAAUUAUUAUAAUAAAAAUAAUCUAUAAAAUUAUAAUAAAUUAAAUAUAAAGAUUUAUAGGGUCUUCUCGUCUUUUAAAUAAAUUUUAGCUUUUUGACUAAAAAAUAAAAUUCUAUUAUAAAUUUUUAUGAAACARUUAAUAUCUCGUCCAACCAUUCAUACCAGCCUUCAAUUAAAAGACUAAUGAUUAUGCUACCUUUGCACAGUUAAUAUACUGCGGCCAUUUAAAAAUUAUUCAUUGGGCAGGUUAGAMUUUAAAAAUAAUNNAUAAAGACAUGUUUUU